rnacentral:rRNA from 1 species
UGGGGAAUUUUGGACAAUGGGCGAAAGCCUGAUCCAGCAAUGCCGCGUGUGUGAAGAAGGCCUUCGGGUUGUAAAGCACUUUUGUCCGGAAAGAAAUCCUUGGCUCUAAUACAGUCGGGGGAUGACGGUACCGGAAGAAUAAGCACCGGCUAACUACGUGCCAGCAGCCGCGGUAAUACGUAGGGUGCAAGCGUUAAUCGGAAUUACUGGGCGUAAAGCGUGCGCAGGCGGUUUGCUAAGACCGAUGUGAAAUCCCCGGGCUCAACCUGGGAACUGCAUUGGUGACUGGCAGGCUAGAGUAUGGCAGAGGGGGGUAGAAUUCCACGUGUAGCAGUGAAAUGCGUAGAGAUGUGGAGGAAUACCGAUGGCGAAGGCAGCCCCCUGGGCCAAUACUGACGCUCAUGCACGAAAGCGUGGGGAGCAAACAGGAUUAGAUACCCUGGUAGUCCACGCCCUAAACGAUGUCAACUAGUUGUUGGGGAUUCAUUUCCUUAGUAACGUAGCUAACGCGUGAAGUUGACCGCCUGGGGAGUACGGUC